GGCUCGGUAGUGGAUGGAUCCACAUCUGCCCAAUAUGUGUCAUCUUGGAGGAUGUUGAUGCAGACACUGCCUGUUCGACUCAGGCCCGAGCCA